CCCUUAUGACUUCAGUGCAUUUUUACUUCCUGUCAAUACUUCAAUAUUAAUUCAUCUGGAAAAAUGUACAAAACCCCUUCAAGGAUUCAACUCAAAUUGUUAAUUAACAAUUAAGCAUGUCAUAUAACAGAUAAGGUGAGGUUAAAGAAUGAGGCAUUCCGAACUCAACACUUAGAAAAAAUUUAGGUAAUAAAGUAAAGAGAUACUUAUUCAGUUACCGAAGUGUAAGACAGAUCUGCUUCAUCGAGAGUUUGUUUACCCCGAAA
rnacentral:lncRNA from 1 species